UGAAAUCUCACCAGGCCCGGACACUGGAAGGAUUGACAGAUUGAUAGCUCUUUCUUGAUUCGGUGCGUGGUGGUGCAUGGCCGUUCUUAAUUGGUUGAGUGAUUUGUCUUGUUAAUUCCGAUAACGAACGAGACUCUGUCCUGCUAAAUAGUGUCUGCUUCUCUUUCGAGCAGACAAUUCUUCUUAGAGGGACUAUAUAUGUUAAGUAUAUGGAAGUUUGAGGCAAUAA
rnacentral:rRNA from 1 species